UACCCUCUUGUCCUAGUACCUGAGCUCACAGAUUCUCAGGAUGGCUUGGAGCUGGAUCAUGCUCUACCUGGUGGCAGCAGGAAUAGGUGUCCACUCUCAGGCUCAGCUGCAGCAGUCUGGAUCUGAACUGAGGCUUCCUGGAUCUUUAGUAAAGGUGACCUGCAAGGAUUUUGACUCAGAUAACUUCCCCAUUUCCUAUAUGAAUUGGGUGAGGCAGAAGCCUGGACAUGGGUUUGAAUGGAUUGGAAACAUACUCCCAAACAUUGGUUAAACAAACUAUGGACAGAAGUUUGAGGACAGAGCCACACUGGAUGCAGACACAAUGUCCAACACAGCCUACAUGGAGCUCAGAAGCCUGACCUCUGAGGACUCUGCCGUCUAUUACUGUGC